rnacentral:rRNA from 1 species
GACGAACGCUGGCGGCGUGCUUAACACAUGCAAGUCGAACGCUGAAGCUCAGCUUUUGUUGGGUGGAUGAGUGGCGAACGGGUGAGUAACACGUGAGUAACCUGCCUCCUUCUUUGGGAUAACGCCCGGAAACGGGUGCUAAUACUGGAUAUUCACUGGUCUUCGCAUGGGGGUUGGUGGAAAGGGUUUUUCUGGUGGGGGAUGGGCUCGCGGCCUAUCAGCUUGUUGGUGGGGUGAUGGCCUACCAAGGCUUUGACGGGUAGCCGGCCUGAGAGGGUGACCGGUCACAUUGGGACUGAGAGACGGCCCAGACUCCUACGGGAGGCAGCAGUGGGGAAUAUUGCACAAUGGGCGCAAGGCUGAUGCAGCGACGCCGCGUGAGGGAUGGAGGCCUUCGGGUUGUGAACCUCUUUCGCUCAUGGUCAAGCCGCAACAAUGGUUGUGGUGAGGGUAGUGGGUAAAGAAGCGCCGGCUAACUACGUG